GGGGGAUAUGGCGAAAUUGGUAGACGCUACGGACUUAA
rnacentral:tRNA from 12 species